rnacentral:rRNA from 1 species
CAGUAGCCGCGGGAAUACAGAGGGUGCGAGCGUUAAUCGGAUUUACUGGGCGUAAAGCGUGCGUAGGCGGCUUUUUAAGUCGGAUGUGAAAUCCCUGAGCUUAACUUAGGAAUUGCAUUCGAUACUGGGAAGCUAGAGUAUGGGAGAGGAUGGUAGAAUUCCAGGUGUAGCGGUGAAAUGCGUAGAGAUCUGGAGGAAUACCGAUGGCGAAGGCAGCCAUCUGGCCUAAUACUGACGCUGAGGGACGAAAGCGUGGGUAGCGAACAGGAUUAGAUACCCCAGUAGUCCCUGUCUCUUAUAC